AUGCCGAUGUGGGCUGGUGGGCUCGGGAUCCCAAACUUAAAAUGGCUUAAUGUGGCGACGCAAGCCCGGUGGCCGUGGCUACAGAAGACUGACAGGAUGAGGCCGUGGGCAGAGUUCCCGCUCAAUGUGCCAGAGGCUUCAAAACAACUCUGUCGCGCGGCCAUGAGGACGACAAUUGGAAGCGGCGCAGAUACGCUGUUCUGGGAGGGCAAGUGGAUAGAUGGGGAGAGGAUCCAGGAUAUCAGCCCGCAUCUCUAUGCCAUGGUGAAAAAAAGGACGAGGCUAAGUUGCACUUUUGCCCAAGCUUUGAAUGGUCAUAGGUGGGCUAGAGAUGUAGGACCGCAGAUGUCCGUUGAGGCGCUAAACGAAUAUAUGCAGCUUUGGACGAGGGUUGUACAGGUGGAGCUGCAGCAAGGCCGGCAGGACCUGGUGACGUGGUCUUGGAGCAGCAACAAAGAAUUCACUACGAACUCCGCCUAUAAUGCCACGUUCUGGGGGCGGCAGGUGGUGCCAGCAGCGGAAUUCACCUGGAAGGCCAAGGUACCGUUGAGAUGCCGAUUCUUCACGUGGACGGCCAUCCGGGACAGAUGCUGGACGUCCGACCGGCUCACCAGACGAGGGUUAGAACAUCAGGAUCGCUGCCUCUUUUGCGACCAGGAGGAAGAAACCAUGGGGCACAUUAUGCUGAGAUGCGUGUUCGCGAGAGAGGUUUGGAUGGCUGUCUUGCAAUCCAUGAGCAAGCAAGAGUGGAUUCCCACGACCGAGCUAAGCAUGAUCAAUUGGUGUGCGGAGAAGGGAGGUGCAUCGCGGAAAAGGCGGAGCCAGGACGACAUCCUAAUUCUUGUCAUGUGGGAGAUUUGGAAACACCGAAAUGCGAUAAUCUUUGAUGGGGCUUCGCCAUCCAAGAAUGUGGUGCUGCUCCGGAUAUGCAACAAAGGGAGAGCGUGGAAGGAGGCAGGGCUAUUGAAGGGAAUCACUGGUGAUUUCUUCGCCGCGGUAGAUCGGUGGGCUAGAUCAGAGGUAGCAACAAUUUAG
rnacentral:rRNA from 1 species